rnacentral:rRNA from 15 species
UUAAAUUGAAGAGUUUGAUCAUGGCUCAGAUUGAACGCUGGCGGCAGGCCUAACACAUGCAAGUCGAACGGUAACAGGAAGCAGCUUGCUGCUUUGCUGACGAGUGGCGGACGGGUGAGUAAU